UACGUAGGGUGCGAGCGUUAAUCGGAAUUACUGGGCGUAAAGUGUGCGCAGGCGGCCGCGCAAGUCGAGUGUGAAAGCCCCGGGCUUAACUUGGGAAUUGCGCUCGAAACUACGUGGCUGGAGUGUGGCAGAGGAAGGUGGAAUUCCACGUGUAGCGGUGAAAUGCGUAGAGAUGUGGAGGAACACCAGUGGCGAAGGCGACUACCUGGCCUGUUCUUGACGCUGAGGCGCGAAAGCUAGGGGAGCAAACGGG
rnacentral:rRNA from 1 species